CCCGGAUCUGAAAGCAGCGUGAUCAGCCAUGCCGCGUGAGUGAUGAAGGCCUUCGGGUUGUAAAGCUCUUUCGGCCGGGAAGAAAUCGGCGACUCUAGCGUAGUCGCUGGAUGACGGUACCGGACUAACAAGCACCGGCUAACUACGUGCCAGCAGCCGCGUUAAUACGUAUGGUGCGAGCGUUAAUCGAAAUUACUGGGCGUAAAGCGUGCGCAGGCGGUUUUGUAAUACAGAUGUGAAAUCCCCCGGCUUAACCUGGGAACUGCGUUUGGGACUGCAAGGCUAGAGUACGGCAGAGGGGAGUGGAAUUCCACGUGUAGCAGUGAAAUGCGUAGAGAUGUGGAGGAACACCGAUGGCGAAGGCAGUCCCCUGGGCCUGUUCUGACACUCAUGCACAAAAGCGUGGGGAGCAAACAGGAUUAGAUACCCUGGUAGUCCACGCCCUAAACGAUGUGGACUAGUCGUUCGGACCAUCAAUGCACUGAGUGACGCAGCUAACGCGUGACGUGGACCGCCUGGUCAGUACGGUCGCAAGGUUAA
rnacentral:rRNA from 1 species